rnacentral:rRNA from 1 species
AACGGCCAUACCAUGCUAAAUAUACCGGUUCUCGUUAGAUCACCGAAGUCAAGCAUCAUUGGGCGCGGUCAGUACUUGGGUGGGUGACCACCUGGGAACACCGUGUGCCGUUG